rnacentral:rRNA from 1 species
CGGAGGAUCCGAGCGUUAUCCGGAUUUAUUGGGUUUAAAGGGUGCGUAGGCGGCCUGUUAAGUCAGGGGUGAAAGACGGUAGCUCAACUAUCGCAGUGCCCUUGAUACUGAUGGGCUUGAAUGUACUAGAGGUAGGCGGAAUGUGACAAGUAGCGGUGAAAUGCAUAGAUAUGUCACAGAACACCAAUUGCGAAGGCAGCUUACUAUGGUAUUAUUGACGCUGAGGCACGAAAGCGUGGGGAUCAAACAGGAUUAGAUACCCUGGUAGUCCACGCCCUAAACGAUGAAUACUCGACGUUAGCGAUAUACAGUUAGCGUCAAAGCGAAAGCGUUAAGUAUUCCACCUGGGGAGUACGCCCGCAAGGGUG